UGGCGGCUUAUAUAGAGGCGGUACCCUGCUAGCAAUUUAUUUUUAAAAUGACAUUCGGAUGAAACAGUGGCCAUCAAGAUUGUUCAAGGGCUUGCAGAUAUCUAUGAAACUGUUGUGAAAUGGCUCUGCAAGUUCUUUAAUUCACUGGCAAAGUUUUCUACUGAAAUCUUGUGGCCCUGCAAGACAUAUGGGAGCUCAUGAGUUAAUUAUGUGCCUUAAUCGAUUAUAGUGCACAGGAAGGGUGAAGUAUAUCCCAGUUGACAUCGAAUUACUUCAUUAGAAUUGGAUCAGAUAAUGAAGAUGCCGGACAAGAAAUUUGAUUUUGGCGACGGGUCAUGACAUAAUACUUGUCUUCAGUGGAUAUGGAGAAAGAAGAAAGUUUUAUGAAGAGAUGGAUAUGGUUUUUUGGAUUCAGUGGCGGUUUAUAUAGAGGUGGCACCCUGCUAGCAAGUUAUUUUUAAAAUGACAUUCGGAUGAAACAGUGGCCAUCAAGAUUGUUCAAGGGGCAGGGUUAUGGACUUAUGCUGAAAUGAAGGAUAUGGAUGGAAACAGUUGUGAAAUGGCUCUGCAACUUCUUUAUUUCACUGGCAAAAGUUUUCUACUGAAAUUUUGUGGCCCUGCAAGACAUAUGGGAGCUCAUGAGUUAAUUAUGUGCCUUAAUCGAUUAUAGUGCACAGGAAGGGUGAAGUAUAUCCCAGUUGACAUCGAAUUACUUCAUUAGAAUUGGAUCAGAUAAUGAAGAUGCCGGACAAGAAAGUUGAUUUUGGCGACGGUAAGAUAUUUGAUUAAUCUUGAAUAUAAUCAUCUGAAAGAGGAUAAAAUGUGGAGCAGUUGCUGCUCGUAAAUUAUUAGCGAAUUUGAGCUAGAUUAAGUGGUAGGCUCAACCGUCUAUCUCAUGUGAAAGCGAGGACAUAUACUACAAAAAAUAUAAAGUCAUCACCGUUAGUAACACUUAUGAUAUUUUGUACGUCCGUCAUUUCUAAAUUGUAUUAUCUUUCAUACUUUUUUUUUGGUCACAUUAUCUUUCAUACUUUUAAACCGUCAAAAAUCUUUUUCUCGUUUAUCAGGGUCAUGACAUAAUACUUGUCUUCUUUCCGUUUAUUUUUUAUGAACCGUCAGUAUUUUAGGAAAUAGUGAUAAUGAAGGAUCCCAUAAAACAAAUACCACUCACAAUUACCAUAACUAUACGUUGCACAAUAAUCAUGAACUCUCAAACAAUAAAAGAUCUCUGUACUGUUUAAAAUAGGAUUGUGGGCAGAAUUGAUACAAAUAUGUUAGAAGAACGAAAAACAUUUAAGUAUCUUGAAGCACCAUCCCCCCACUUCCGAUGGGAAUUUCUUCCCUUUCUUUUCUCCAGGUAGAAGAAACAGCCAAAGAAAUAUAGCAAAAAGAGAGAAGAGCACAUAUGCAAUAUCAAGGGAUGUAUUAUUCGUAAAUGUCUAGGUUGUGUUCACUUGGAAUGAAUGAAAUGAGAAUAAAAUAGAAUGAAAAAUUUAUAAAAAAAUUUUAUGGAGAAAGAACAAAGUAUGAGAUAUUAGUUAUCAAAUAUGAGGGAGACUAAAUUUUCUAUGAUGAAGAUUGUAGUGAAACAUGAUGAAAACGUGGAAUGAACGUUCAAAUAUCCAAAACAUGUGAGUUUAGGUAUUUAGUUCAAAUAUUUUGGAAUGGAAUGAUUAGAGAAAUGAAAAUUGUAGAGAUUUUUUUAUUGAAACUGUUGUAAAAUGGUUUUGCAAGUUCUUUAUUUUA